GGGCCCGCACAAGCGGUGGAGCAUGUGGUUUAAUUCGAUGCAACGCGAAGAACCUUACCAGGGUUUGACAUCCUGCGAAUCUCUUGGAAACAGGAGAGUGCCUUCGGGAACGCAGUGACAGGUGGUGCAUGGCUGUCGUCAGCUCGUGUCGUGAGAUGUUGGGUUAAGUCCCGCAACGAGCGCAACCCACGUCUUUAGUUGCCAGCAUUUAGUUGGGCACUCUAGAGAGACUGCCGGUGAUAAACCGGAGGAAGGUGUGGAUGACGUCAAGUCAUCAUGCCCCUUACAUCCUGGGCUACACACGUACUACAAUGGCACUUACAAUGGGAUGCAAAGAGGUGACUCUAAGCUAAUCCCAAAAAUGUGUCUCAGUUCGGAUUGUACUCUGUAACUCGAGUGCAUGAAGCUGGAAUUGCUAGUAAUCGC
rnacentral:rRNA from 1 species